UGUCUCCUAUUAAAAAAAAAUCAAAUUACUCCAUCAGCAAGUUCACCAUUUUUUUAUUGUUGGAAGGGGGAAAAAUCACUAUUCCGGUGAACAGAGUUCUAUCUAAGGAAUUGUCAUUCCAGUCAGGAAAACCUUUGGCAUCCGGAUCACUUUUAGAUGAGAGCCAAGUAAGGUCCAUUGUGGAGGAGAUAAAGCAGGUCAUCACAGCCAGCUCAGUUAGAAGACAAGAAAUUAAGAGCGGAGAGGGUCAAAGCAGAGGACUUUGAAGCAGAAGAAGGGGAGCCGCUUGAGGAAGAAGAUGAGCUUUUUGAUCAAGUAUAAUGUGCAUGGAUCUUUGGCUUAUCAUUUAAUGGAUUAUUGUUUGCUUUUGUUUCUUUCCUUGCUGAAGGCUGGUGAUUGCUUGGGCACAUUGAUGAUCAAAACCUUCGAAGCCUCUUUCUUACCUUUCUUUCUUUGAUGAGCUUCCACCUUACAUAACACCUAUGUGGGGUAAGGAUAAAACAUCAGAAGAGAGGAGUAUCGCCAUUUGUAUAUUUGACGAGCAUUGUAAGGAAGCUGCUCUUAAAUAUUAUGGUACCUAUGUCUCUUUCCUGCUAGAAGCCUGCAAUUAAUGAUGAAAACCCAGAUGUUCGUCAGGUGUGUCCCGUGAAGUACAUUUAUUAUUUUACUUCUCUAGUGAAUGUUGGUUUUGUUAAUAAAUGAGCACCAUGUUUUUCGGGCAGCUGUUUGUCGAAUUGGUAUCUGUGCGGGGCUUGGUGGAUCUGGAUCUGUGUUUAAACCACUCGCUGGAGGCACUUUCCAGGUUCAAUGCUGUAAUAAGUCAUCCCAAUGCACUUCAUUCGGACAAUACAAUGCCAUUUUGACAAUGCUGUUUCAGCUCUUGGAAAAAUAUGCGAGUUUCAUCGGGAUAGCAUAGAUGCAGCACGGGUAUUUAUUUUAUCCUUUCUCUUACGUGAGCCUAGGUGGUUCAUAAUGCUUUCUGCUUAGGGCCCGUCCUCCCUGAACUGAUAUUCAUGAAUGAUUGGUUUGAUCUCUGUGCUACUUCUAAAAGAGCGAGCGAACAAUUGCAUGGACCAUUCUGGCGUCCUGCAUGAAUCUUGGAUUGUUAUAUGAAGUCUUCCACAUGAUUUAUUGUUCUAUCUCAUCCUUAAUACUUCUUUCAUUGCGUGUAUUUUAGUGCACAAAUAUAUUCUAAACAAAACGCCAUUUGUUACAGGUCUGAUAGAGAACUUUCAGGGCCAAACAAUCAAUACCCUUUCUGUGCCCUGCUUGCCUCUAUCUCUUGCAUUUGGAAAUUGAAUGUUGCUGUUGUUUAAUUCCUGUUUUAGUUUUCCUAGUCAUUGCAACAUUGUUGCUGUAGGUCAUAUGUGCAGGCAAAGAGUUGGCAACAGAGCAAACAGUCAUUCGAAUGAUUAAUCUGUUGAGACAAAUUCAGCAAAUGUUACCAUCUGCUACCAUAGCUUCGACUUUGUCAUCCUUGGAACCACAGCAGCAUCUUGCUUUGCAAUCUAUUCUCUCUUCUUAGCUCAUUUGGAAUUGUUGGGAUUCAUUAUUAUUUCCUCCAAGUUGGAUCUAUCAUCCUUUGUUCUUCUGCAGCGGUGGCCAUGUCAUGGUUCUCUCUGGGAAGCGGCUGUGUCCUGUCCAAGUUCCUACUGCAUCGGCGAGCAAUGUCAUUGUUUCAUGGGGAUGCUGUUGCCUGUGUUCAGCAAGCGAGUGUUGUGUGCUGAAUUUCCUUUCUUCAGAGUGGUUCUCUAUUUGUGGGUGAAAUGAAAAAUAGGAAAAGAAAUUUUGGCAUAGAAUUUGUACACUAUGACUGGUAUUAAUUUUGUUAAAUAAUACAUUUAUUUAGUUUUAUUUAUUAAGAAUAAAAUAGUAUUUUGAGUUC